UAAUACUAGUAAAAUUGGCUUGUCUAAAUAUAUUGGGCACCACUCUAGACGUGAUCAUGUUGAAAAUGGUGAUUUUACUGUAGAAUUCGUAGAUUCUAAAAAUUAACUAGCUAAUAUUUUUACAAAACCAUUGCUUGAAGAAAGAUUUUGUUUCGUUAGAAAUAGUCUUAGAAUUACCAUGUUUCAAAAUGUAUAAGUCUUACUUGCAUUUUUUCUUUUCAUUGUUUGUUUUAUCUGUUUUUGUUUGUUUGUUUUAGUUUUGUUUUUUUACUUUUUCCUUGCCUUUAGUUAGUCUAGCAUUAAAACAACCCAUAAUUAAAGUGUGAAUGUACUUUCCCGCCUCCACUAUUUACCAUUAUUACUCCUCUUCCCAAUAAACCCUGACCAGUCACCUCAAAUCCUUUUCCAAAGCAACCGUCCAUCUUCCCUUUUUUUCUAUAAUGCUUCUCUCCUUUUUCACCCAAAAACCCUCAUCCUAUCUCCUCUCCAAAAACAACUCUUCCAUAACCCUUCCUCCACAAUGGUUAGAGUCAAGGGAGAAAGUUCCAGUUGUAGGCGAUCUAGUCGAUGACUAUAUAGUCUAACUGAAAUUAAAGACCAUGUUAAUCUAUCUGACUCGUCUAAUAGUGAAGUUAUUAGAAAUCUUUUCAAAAAAAAACAAAGUGUUCCUUCAUCUUCAAAAGAGAGAGCACUUAAGAAGUCAAAAACAGAGAUCUGUGAUGAUUUUGGACCUGAGGACAUGUAACUAUUCUGGGGAUAUGUUGAGUAGGCUAGGUAUAAUUUGUUCAAGAAGCGUAGCAUCACCACAGGUAGAGUUAUCAGUCUUGAACAACUUAAAGAUCAUCAUUACAAUGUUGGAUAUUUAAGCUCAAUUACCAAUAGGGAUGUCAAUGUGCUCUAUUGUCUAAUCAAGAAAUACAAAAUCUACUGGGAAAAUUGGUUCAAGGAGUACAUGCUUGAAAGUGUUUUGGACAUGUCACCCUCUGCCAGCCAUCCCUAUGGAAUGAUCAUUUAUCUCAUCUUGAAGGACUUGUUCAUUGAUCUUAUUGAUUUUUGAGCAAUAGAGGUUACAGCAACAUAUGAUCAUCACGCUUUUGCCAGUAUGAACGUUGUCUUUACAGGUGAUGAAUGGACAAAGAAGGAAGCAAUCAAGCAAAAACUUUUGCCCAAAAGUGAUCCAGCUCGGGAUGUCUCACAGGUUAUGAGUCAUGAAGUCAUUGAGUUGAAACAGAAUCUUGAUGCAGUGGAAGGUCUCCUACAAAAGAUUCAAGAAACUCUUGACAAAGUGUUGUGCUCUUCUAAGGAGGAAGGUGCAGAUUUUGGGAAGCUGCGGAUCAGUAUGGAGGGAUUGUUGAAGAAGGGAGUCAAAACAGUCAACAAGCUGAUCUCAAGAGUCGACUCUCUGAACAGAGAAAUUGCGAACUCCAAUACUGAACUUUUUGUAACCAUUUAAAACUCUCAUUCUACCCUUUCCCACAACAUUGAGACCUCCUACAAUUCCUUCUCUAAGAGAAUUAUCAACACUUUCAGCUGAUCUGUUAACUGUUUGCACAAAUUUUUUUGUUGUUUGGUUAAGACAUUCUGCAUGUUUUGUUUUGUUAAAAUUAUGAGGACUGUUUGUGUCCAUGCUAACUAUGUGGCUAAGCAGAUUCUAGGUGCUAAUGUGAUGUGUGUGAUUAUCUGUUAUGUGUUUGCCUACUACGCUAUUUCUUUGUGUUGUAUAUCUGUGUUUUCCUUUCUGAUGAUUUCAAAGGGGGAGAAGAGCAGCAAGAGCAGUAGUCAACUAAUCAAUGAGUGCAUCACAUAUUUCAGGGAAGUAAACUGUCACACUCAUUUUUGGUUGUCAUCAUAAAAAUGGGGAGAUUGUUAGCUUUGAUUAUUUACCGUAGUAAUAUUUGUCUUAACACUGUGGACGUGUAGGAACCAAAAAGUAAAAGGAUGCACACUCAAUAAGGUGAAGUCAAGCAUAAGGAAAGCAGGAAGAUAUUCUAUAGAAUAUCUUAAAUCAAGGAGACAGACAAAGAAAACCUAGCUGGAGGAAUCUCCGACAUACAAGGCAAGAAGAACAAUCAUCUCAUUUGAGUGAGAAGGUUACGGACAACCAAUACAAAGUUGUCAUGAAAAAUACUACUCAACCAGUCAAGAUCUCACCACCAACGGAAAGAGGAUACAAAGGAAGAGCCGUGAAGAUCUCAAGCUUCAGAGUAUAGAAGGAAAGAAGACAUCAAGGAAGAUACAAGAUCAAUGGAUUGAAGAAAAACUCCUUGGGUUACCUUAGAAUGAGCCAAUCAGAAUCAAUCCAAUGGAAAGAUUGAUGCACUGCCCUCAAGAUGUGAAGCAGCCAACUAUAUCAGAAGACCUCACAAGCCGAAGAAGACUCACAACUUCACUUGAGCAAUAAAUCUAUUUACUCUUCAUCUCGUAAAAAGCAUUAUAUUCAAGUUGAGUCUUAUAGUGUUAGAAAAAGAAAAGAGAGAAUAGCUAGCUAUACAGGUUGAGCCUGUAACUAAAAACUAUUCAAGUUGGAUCCAACGUUCAACUUGAAUCAUCUCUGUAAUCAAGUUACCAUACGGCUCUAAGGAAACCCCUGUAACCCAAGGGGACUGGAUUAGGCACACCGGUGAUCCUAACAAGUAUAAAAUUCUCUGUGUUCAUUUA